rnacentral:rRNA from 1 species
UAGGGAAUCUUCCACAAUGGGCGAAAGCCUGAUGGAGCAACGCCGCGUGUGUGAUGAAGGGUUUCGGCUCGUAAAACNCUGUUGUAAGAGAAGAAUGACAUUGAGAGUAACUGUUCAAUGUGUGACGGUAUCUUACCAGAAAGGAACGGCUAAAUACGUGCUAG